UUGCUUUGGCAGCACAUAUACUAAAAUUGGAACCAUACAGAGAAGAUUAACAUGGCCCUUGUUCAAGGAAGACACACAAAUUCGUGAAGCGUUCCAUGUUUUU
rnacentral:snRNA from 1 species